CCUACGGGUGGCAGCAGUGAGGAAUAUUGGUCAAUGGCCGAGAGCCUGAACCAGCCAAGUCGCGUGAGGGAAGACGGCUCUAUGGUUUGUAAACCUCUUUUGUAUGGGAGUAAAGUGCAGGACGGGAUCUGCUGUGUGAGUACCUGAAGAAAAAGCAUCGGCUAACUCCGUGCCAGCAGCCGCGGUAAUACGGAGGAUGCGAGCGUUAUCCGGAUUUAUUGGGUUUAAAGGGUGCGUAGGUGGGUAAUUAAGUCAGCGGUGAAAUGCCGCGGGUCAACCGGGUGAAGUGCAAUUGAUACUGUCUUGCUGGAGUGCGGAUGAGGUGGGCGGAAUGCGUGGUGUAGCGGUGAAAUGCAUAGAUAUCACGCAGAACACCGAUUGCGAAGGCAGCUCACGAAUCCGCGACUGACGCUGAUGCACGAAAGCGUGGGUAUCAAACAGGAUUAGAUACCCCUGUAGUC
rnacentral:rRNA from 1 species